rnacentral:rRNA from 1 species
AUACUGCUUUGAACAUCGACAUCUGAACGC